rnacentral:rRNA from 1 species
GAUGAACGCUGGCGGCGUGCCUAAUACAUGCAAGUCGAGCGAACGGACGAGAAGCUUGCUUCUCUGAUGUUAGCGGCGGACGGGUGAGUAACACGUGGAUAACCUACCUAUAAGACUGGGAUAACUUCGGGAAACCGGAGCUAAUACCGGAUAAUAUUUUGAACCGCAUGGUUCAAAAGUGAAAGACGGUCUUGCUGUCACUUAUAGAUGGAUCCGCGCUGCAUUAGCUAGUUGGUAAGGUAACGGCUUACCAAGGCAACGAUGCAUAGCCGACCUGAGAGGGUGAUCGGCCACACUGGAACUGAGACACGGUCCAGACUCCUACGGGAGGCAGCAGUAGGGAAUCUUCCGCAAUGGGCGAAAGCCUGACGGAGCAACGCCGCGUGAGUGAUGAAGGUCUUCGGAUCGUAAAACUCUGUUAUUAGGGAAGAACAUAUGCGUAAGUAACUGCGCACAUCUUGACGGUACCUAAUCAGAAAGCCACGGCUAACUACGUG